GACUUGGUAGCUUAGUUGGUAAAGGAAGCACUUUUGGUCUCAUGUCUUAGAUUGCAGCUAGGUUUGCUGGUUAAAAUCCUGUCCAAGUUG
rfam:Puccinia sorghi strain RO10H11247 Scaffold_3939, whole genome shotgun sequence.